AGAAGAUAUACCUCUUCUUCUAACUGUACGAUCCGCAAAAAGAACAACCGGCACCGCGGUAUAUGUGGGGACACGUUUUGUGAAGGGAAGUGGCAAGCCUAUGAAAUUCUUAGAAAGCUUAAUGAGAUGGCUGGAUUCUCUCCAGAUGAAGAGAUUUAACUUUUUGAGAUGGUAGGAAUUUGGCCAACUAUACUAUGAGAAGGAAAAUAAACCCAGUUGAAGAAGCUUGAGCACAUUGAUAUGCAAUAAUUGAAAACAUUGUUUAUUCUGCUGUGUUAGGUUGUAUGCUUGAAUUAUCUGGAGAAACUGAAGGAAGAUGAUUUCUCUCUAGAGCUGUAAUAACUUUUGAUAAUGUC